rnacentral:rRNA from 1 species
UUGAACGCUGGCGGUAUGCUUAACACAUGCAAGUCGAACGGAAACGAUACUAGCUUGCUAGUAGGCGUCGAGUGGCGGACGGGUGAGUAACGCGUAGGAAUCUGCCUGAUAGUGGGGGAUAGCCCGAAGAAAUUCGGAUUAAUACCGCAUAAUCUAUUCGUAGUAAAGUGGGGGACUUUCGAGCCUCACGCUAUCAGAUGAGCCUGCGUAAGAUUAGCUUGUUGGUAGGGUAAAAGCCUACCAAGGCGACGAUCUUUAGCUGGUCUGAGAGGAUGAUCAGCCACAUCGGGACUGAGACACGGCCCGAACUCCUACGGGAGGCAGCAGUGGGGAAUAUUGGACAAUGGGGGCAACCCUGAUCCAGCAAUACCGCGUGUGUGAAGAAGGCCUGAGGGUUGUAAGGCACUUUCAAUUGUGAAGAAAAGUUAGCGGUUAAUAACCGUUAGCCUUGACGUUAACUUUAGAAGAAGCACCGGCUAACUCCGUGCCAGCAGCCGCGGUAAUACGGAGGGUGCAAGCGUUAAUCGGAAUUACUGGGCGUAAAGCGUGCGUAGGCGGUUUAUUAAGUCAGAUGUGAAAGCCCCGGGGCUUAACCUGGGAACUGCAUUUGAAACUGGUCAACUAGAGUAUGGUAGAGGAAAGUGGAAUUUCUGGUGUAGCGGUGAAAUGCGUAGAUAUCAGAAAGGAACAUCAAUGGCGAAGGGCAGCUUUCUGGACCAAUACUGACGCUGAGGUACGAAAGCGUGGGUAGCAAACAGGAUUAGAUACCCUGGUAGUCCACGCCGUAAACGAUGAUAACUAGCCGUUGGGGGGAUUUACCCUUUAGUGGCGAAGCUAACGCGUUAAGUUAUCCGCCUGGGGAGUACGGCCGCAAGGUUAAAACUCAAAGGAAUUGACGGGGACCCGCACAAGCGGUGGAGCAUGUGGUUUAAUUCGAUGCAACGCGAAGAACCUUACCUGGUCUUGACAUCCUGCGAACUUUCUAGAAAUAGAUUGGUGCCUUCGGGAACGCAGUGACAGGUGCUGCAUGGCUGUCGUCAGCUCGUGUCGUGAGAUGUUGGGUUAAGUCCCGUAACGAGCGCAACCCCUAUCCUUAUUUGCCAGCACAUCAUGGUGGGAACUAUAAGGAGACUGCCGGUGAUAAACCGGAGGAAGGCGGGGACGACGUCAAGUCAUCAUGGCCCUUACGACCAGGGCUACACACGUGCUACAAUGGGAAGGACAAAGAGCCGCGAAGCCGCGAGGUGUAGCUAAUCUCAUAAACCUUUUCGUAGUCCGGAUUGGAGUCUGCAACUCGACUCCAUGAAGUCGGAAUCGCUAGUAAUCGUAGAUCAGAAUGCUACGGUGAAUACGUUCCCGGGUCUUGUACUCACCGCCC